UACGAAGGGGGCUAGCGUUGCUCGGAUUUACUGGGCGUAAAGGGCGCGUAGGCGGACAGUUUAGUCAGAGGUGAAGGCCCAGGGCUCAACCUUGGAAUUGCCUUUGAUACUGGCUGUCUUGAGUACGGGAGAGGUGAGUGGAACUCCGAGUGUAGAGGUGAAAUUCGUAGAUAUUCGGAAGAACACCAGUGGCGAAGGCGACUCACUGGCCCGUUACUGACGCUGAGGCGCGAAAGCGUGGGGAGCAAACAGG
rnacentral:rRNA from 1 species